rfam:Hanseniaspora opuntiae strain AWRI3578 Hanseniaspora_opuntiae_AWRI3578_scaffold224, whole genome shotgun sequence.
UAUCUGGUUGAUCCUGCCAGUAGUCAUAUGCUUGUCUCAAAGAUUAAGCCAUGCAUGUCUAAGUAUAAGCAAUUUAUACAGUGAAACUGCGAAUGGCUCAUUAAAUCAGUUAUCGUUUAUUUGAUAGUUUCUUUACUACAUGGAAUACCUGUGGUAAUUCUAGAGCUAAUACAUGCUUAAAAUCCCAACUCACGAAGGGAUGUAUUUAUUAGAUAAAAAAUCAAUGUCUUCGGACUUCUGAUGAUUCAUAAUAACUUUUCGAAUCGCAUGGCUUUAUGCUGGCGAUGGUUCAUUCAAAUUUCUGCCCUAUCAACUUUUGAUGGUAGGAUAGUGGCCUACCAUGGUUUCAACGGGUAACGGGGAAUAAGGGUUCGAUUCCGGAGAGGGAGCCUGAGAAACGGCUACCACAUCCAAGGAAGGCAGCAGGCGCGCAAAUUACCCAAUCCUAAUUCAGGGAGGUAGUGACAAUAAAUAACGAUACAGGGCUUUAUGUCUUGUAAUUGGAAUGAGUACAAUUUAAAUACCUUAACGAGGAACAAUUGGAGGGCAAGUCUGGUGCCAGCAGCCGCGGUAAUUCCAGCUCCAAUAGCGUAUAUUAAAGUUGUUGCAGUUAAAAAGCUCGUAGUUGAACUUUGGGCUUGGAGAAUCGGUCCAACUUUGUUGUGUACUGUCUUCUCCAGGUCUUUCCUUCUGGUUCUCAUUUGGGGUUUACUCCAUUUGUUGAUCCAGGAUUUUUACUUUGAAAAAAUUAGAGUGUUCAAAGCAGGCGUUUUGCUCGAAUAUAUUAGCAUGGAAUAAUAGAAUAGGACGAUUGGUUCUAUUUUGUUGGUUUCUAGGACCAUCGUAAUGAUUAAUAGGGACGGUCGGGGGCAUCAGUAUUCAGUUGUCAGAGGUGAAAUUCUUGGAUUUACUGAAGACUAACUACUGCGAAAGCAUUUGUCAAGGACGUUUUCAUUAAUCAAGAACGAAAGUUAGGGGAUCGAAGAUGAUCAGAUACCGUCGUAGUCUUAACCAUAAACUAUGCCGACUAGGGAUCGGGCGGUGCCUUUUAUUGGCCCACUCGGCACCUUACGAGAAAUCAAAGUUUUUGGGUUCUGGGGGGAGUAUGGUCGCAAGGCUGAAACUUAAAGGAAUUGACGGAAGGGCACCACCAGGAGUGGAGCCUGCGGCUUAAUUUGACUCAACACGGGGAAACUCACCAGGUCCAGACACAAUAAGGAUUGACAGAUUGAGAGCUCUUUCUUGAUUUUGUGGGUGGUGGUGCAUGGCCGUUCUUAGUUGGUGGAGUGAUUUGUCUGCUUAAUUGCGAUAACGAACGAGACCUUAACCCUUAAAUAGAGUUGCUGGCAUUUGCUGGUAAAUCUUCUUAUGGGGACUAUCGAUUUCAAGUCGAUGGAAGUUUGAGGCAAUAACAGGUCUGUGAUGCCCUUAGACGUUCUGGGCCGCACGCGCGCUACACUGACGGAGCCAGCGAGCUUUUCCUUAACCGAGAGGUUUGGGUAAUCUUGUGAAACUCCGUCGUGCUGGGGAUAGAGCAUUGUAAUUAUUGCUCUUCAACGAGGAAUUCCUAGUAAGCGCAAGUCAUCAGCUUGCGUUGAUUACGUCCCUGCCCUUUGUACACACCGCCCGUCGCUAGUACCGAUUGAAUGGCUUAGUGAGGCUUCAGGAUUUGCUUAGAUCGAGGGGCAACUCUCUUUCAGAGCGGAGAAUCUAGUCAAACUUGGUCAUUUAGAGGAACUAAAAGUCGUAACAAGGUUUCCGUAGGUGAACCUGCGGAAGGAUCAUUA